CAGUCGCCGCGGGAAAACGGAGGGUGCGAGCGUUAAUCGGAAUUACUGGGCGUAAAGCGUACGCAGGCGGUUUGUUAAGUCAGAUGUGAAAUCCCCGAGCUUAACUCGGGAACUGCAUUUGAAACUGGCAGGCUAGAGUCUCGUAGAGGGGGGUAGAAUUCCAGGUGUAGCGGUGAAAUGCGUAGAGAUCUGGAGGAAUACCGGUGGCGAAGGCGGCCCCCUGGACGAAGACUGACGCUCAGGUACGAAAGCGUGGGGAGCAAACAGGAUUAGAUACCCGCGUAGUCCCUGUCUCUUAUAC
rnacentral:rRNA from 1 species